rnacentral:misc_RNA from 1 species
GAUGAAGAACGUAGCGAAAUGCGAUAAGUAGUGUGAAUUGCAGAAUUCAGUGAAUCAUCGAAUCUUUGAACGCACAUUGCGCCCCUUGGUAUUCCAUGGGGCAUGCCUGUUCGAGCGUCAUUUGUACCUUCAAGCUUUGCUUGGUGUUGGGUGUUUGUCCUGAGGGACUCGCCUUAAAGUCAUUGGCAGCCGGCCUACUGGUUUCGGAGCGCAGCACAAGUCGCACUCUUUUCCAGCCAAGGUCAGUGUCCAACAAGCCUUUUUUCAACUUUUGACCUCGGAUCAGGUAGGGAUACCCGCUGAACUUAAGCAUAUCAAUAAGCGGAGGA